rnacentral:rRNA from 1 species
CCUACGGGAGGCUGCAGUGAGGAAUAUUGGUCAAUGGACGCAAGUCUGAACCAGCCAUGCCGCGUGCAGGAAGACGGCUCUAUGAGUUGUAAACUGCUUUUGUACGAGGGUAAACGCAGAUACGCGUAUCUGUCUGAAAGUAUCGUACGAAUAAGGAUCGGCUAACUCCGUGCCAGCAGCCGCGGUAAUACGGAGGAUUCAAGCGUUAUCCGGAUUUAUUGGGUUUACAGGGUGCGUAGGCGGUCAGAUAAGUUAGAGGUGAAAUCCCGAGGCUCAACUUCGGAAUUGCCUCUGAUACGGUUCGGCUAGAGCGUAGUUGCGGUAGGCGUAAUGUAUGGUGCAGCGGUGACAUGCUU